GAGAGCUUGCUCUCUGGGUGACGAGCGGCGGACGGGUGAGUAAUGUCUGGGAAACUGCCUGAUGGAGGGGGAUAACUACUGGAAACGGUAGCUAAUACCGCAUAACGUCGCAAGACCAAAGAGGGGGACCUUCGGGCCUCUUGCCAUCAGAUGUGCCCAGAUGGGAUUAGCUAGUAGGUGGGGUAAUGGCUCACCUAGGCGACGAUCCCUAGCUGGUCUGAGAGGAUGACCAGCCACACUGGAACUGAGACACGGUCCAGACUCCUACGGGAGGCAGCAGUGGGGAAUAUUGCACAAUGGGCGCAAGCCUGAUGCAGCCAUGCCGCGUGUGUGAAGAAGGCCUUCGGGUUGUAAAGCACUUUCAGCGAGGAGGAAGGUGGUGAACUUAAUACGUUCAUCAAUUGACGUUACUCGCAGAAGAAGCACCGGCUAACUCCGUGCCAGCAGCCGCGGUAAUACGGAGGGUGCAAGCGUUAAUCGGAAUUACUGGGCGUAAAGCGCACGCAGGCGGUUUGUUAAGUCAGAUGUGAAAUCCCCGGGCUCAACCUGGGAACUGCAUUUGAAACUGGCAAGCUAGAGUCUCGUAGAGGGGGGUAGAAUUCCAGGUGUAGCGGUGAAUUGCGUA
rnacentral:rRNA from 1 species